AGAGUUUGAUCCUGGCUCAGAAUCAACGCUGGCGGCGUGCCUAACACAUGCAAGUCGAACGCGAGAGGGGCUUCGGCCCCAAUUGAGUGGCGAACGGGUGAGUAACGCGUGGGUGACCUACCUUCGAGUGGGGGAUAACGUCCCGAAGGGGACGCUAAUACCGCAUAACAUCCUCUUUUUGAACAGAGGGAGAUCAAAGCCGGGGAUCGCAAGACCUGGCGCUUGAUGAGGGGCCCGCGUCUGAUUAGCUAGUUGGUGGGGUAAUGGCUCACCAAGGCGACGAUCAGUAUCCGGCCUGAGAGGGCGGACGGACACACUGGGACUGAGACACGGCCCAGACUCCUACGGGAGGCAGCAGUGGGGAAUUGUUCGCAAUGGGCGCAAGCCUGACGACGCAACGCCGCGUGGAGGAUGAAGGUCUUCGGAUUGUAAACUCCUGUUGCCCGGGACGAAUAGCUUCGACCUAACACGUCGGAGUAUGACGGUACCGGGUGAGGAAGCCCCGGCUAACUCUGUGCCAGCAGCCGCGGUAAUACAGAGGGGGCAAGCGUUGUUCGGAAUUACUGGGCGUAAAGGGCGCGUAGGCGGCCUGUUAAGUCGAACGUGAAAUCCCCGGGCUCAACCCGGGAACUGCGUCCGAUACUGGCUGGCUUGAAUCCGGGAGAGGGAUGUGGAAUUCCAGGUGUAGCGGUGAAAUGCGUAGAUAUCUGGAGGAACACCGGUGGCGAAGGCGACAUCCUGGACCGGUAUUGACGCUGAGGCGCGAAAGCCAGGGGAGCAAACGGGAUUAGAUACCCCGGUAGUCCUGGCCCUAAACGAUGAAUGCUUGGUGUGGCGGGUAUCGAUCCCUGCCGUGCCGAAGCUAACGCAUUAAGCAUUCCGCCUGGGGAGUACGGUCGCAAGGCUGAAACUCAAAUGAAUUGACGG
rnacentral:rRNA from 1 species